GCAGUGCUCUACUUAGAAAGGUGCCAGUCACUUAUAUUACAUGUCACUGUGUCCUUUCUGCGUAGAGUAAGGCUC
ensembl:miRNA